rnacentral:rRNA from 1 species
UACGGGGGGAGCAAGCGUUGUUCGGAUUUACUGGGCGUAAAGGGCGCGUAGGCGGUCAGCACAAGUCAGUUGUGAAAUCUCCGGGCUUAACUCGGAAAGGUCAACUGAUACUGUGCGACUAGAGUGCAGAAGGGGCAACUGGAAUUCUCGGUGUAGCGGUGAAAUGCGUAGAUAUCGAGAGGAACACCUGCGGCGAAGGCGGGUUGCUGGGCUGACGCUGACGCUGAUGCGCGAAAGCCAGGGGAGCGAACGGG